CACAUGCUCUUUAGAUCCACCUUUGGGGUAUCCAUGCCGAGUUCCAGUGGAGUUCUUUUUAGAGCUGUAGUAGUUACAACCUGGUGAUACCCAGCAACUUGGUUGCACAUUCAAAGGUGCUUAAGUCAUUGGCAUGUGACCCCUCUUGCUGGUCACUGCUGUUCUGGUCGGGUAGGAAAUU